GGCCCUGACAGCACAACUUCACAUCUAAUAAAAACCACGUUGGUAAGAAAUCUCCAAACCUAGGAAAACCUGAGACGUGAGCAGAGCGGUCCUUUGGGUGGUCAUAAGAAAAUGCUUUAUUUGUCAAUACUGCAACGUGAAAUAGAUGCAGACACAUUCAAGAUACAAACUGAAGUGAGCAUAUCCAUCUAGCUCAUGGAAGAGCAUCUGACACAGCUUCACAUUGCUUUUGGAAUUAAAUUUCCCAAUCCAGGGUAGGUAUAGCCACAGGCUGCCAUAAUGUAAAUACCUAUUGAUACGGACAUCAGGAUCAGAAUCACUUACAGGCUGACCUGGAAAAAGAAAAAGCUGCCCACCAGCCUGGACUUAAGAGACAAAGCAAUUAAG